GAUGAACGCUGGCGGCGUGCUUAACACAUGCAAGUCGAACGGGAUCCAAGGGGUGCUUGCACUUUUUGGUGAGAGUGGCGAACGGGUGAGUAACACGUGAGUAACCUGUCCUUUUCUUUGGGAUAAGCAUUCGAAAGGGUGUUUAAUACCUUAUGUUCUGUCUGCCUCGCAUGGGGUGGGUGGGAAAGGCUUUGGCCGGAUUUGGGUGGGCUCGCGGUCUAUCAGCUUGUUGGUGGGGUGAUGGCUUACCAAGGCUUUGACGGGUAGCCGGCCUGAGAGGGUGGUCGGUCACAUUGGGACUGAGAUACGGCCCAGACUCCUGCGGGAGGCAGCAGUGGGGGAUAUUGCACAAUGGGCGAAAGCCGGAUGCAGCGACGCCGCGUGGGGGAUGAAGGCCUUCGGGUUGUAAACUUCUUUUGCUCUGAACAAGGCAUGCCAGUGGGUGUGUUGAGUGUAGGGGUUGAUUAGCGCCGGCUAACUACGUG
rnacentral:rRNA from 1 species